CUGUUACCCCUCUGAUAGCUCACUCUCUGUAUGUGCAGGAGUGUGUGAGGGUCCCAGUCUCUUGCUGGAGGAAGAGGAGAAUCUGUCCGUAAAUGGGAUUACACUGACAAUAAUGGACAACAGAUCCCGUAUAGAAAUAAAUCGGGAAUAUAAUGGAAUCGGAUUUGAAAAAUCAACUCGUGGAAUCCCGAAAAUAAUUGAACGGUAUUUAGAUGGAGGUGGAGCUGGUACCUCUGAAACAGACCCUCGCACCAAAUCACCCAACAACGAUACCACUCAUUAGUUCAAAUUCUUCCAAAAAAUGUAUUAAAAAGUUUUUGUUAAAAA